GCGCUGCUCUUUUAUACUGCAGACGCGCGUAGCGUAAGAAGGGAGGCGUUUUGACGCACAGCGUGUGUCUAUGUGGAGUUGGAAAACCUAAUCAGCUUAGGAGGCUCGUGCGGGUUACAGACAGAUAUGUCUGACUGCUUCUGCUAUAUUUUGACAUCUUGUAAAGCACUUUGAGCUACAUCAUGUGUAUGAAAAUGUGCAAUAGAAAUAAAUGUUGUCACACAUGAAAGGAGUGUGGAUUGAGAUCUGAUGCCACAUAAAAGGACUCCAUUCAUUAGCAGAUCUCAGUGGUCAAGAAGGAGCAUAAGACAUCACAAGUGCCAUAUAAAGUGAACAAAAGGAUUUUAUUAACAGCAAAUAUCCUACAGCUGGAGCCUAUUUACAGUUGCCAGUUAUUCUAACAUGUAUACCUUUGGAAUGUAGAAGGAAAUUCUAUGCAGAC